rnacentral:lncRNA from 1 species
GCUGGCGAGUGGAGGGCAAACGGACUACCACCGCUGACUGAAGCCGUGGAAACUGAUAACAUAGCUUUGGGUGAAUGAUUCUCUCCUGAGGUUCUGGGUUUUAUGCAGCUUGCUAUAGAUCAGGUAACACCUGGCACAGUUGAUUGUAUUAAGUUGAUGAAAUACUUGAGCUGAAGUUUGAGUUUGAUUCCUUUGGUGCUAUAAUUGCGUGGGAACUUGAAGAAUGUAUCGUUGAAUUUGGACAAGAGAUGUUGAAUAAGUGUUUCUUUGUUAGUGUUGUCUGUGGAUGCUUGGUAGUGCAUCCAUUGGUAAUCAACAGCACAUGCAGCAAAAUCAGCAACAAUCUGUAGAAGGUAUAGGUUUUCUUUCUCUCUUUUCAUAGGUGGUAAUUUAUUGAAAUAAGUAGGUGAAGUCUAGGUUUAAAGAAAAAAAAAGCAAGGCAGAGUGUAGCAAAGGGAAGUUGGGUGUACAUGGGGUGGCUUAGUCCCCUUUUCAAGCAAAA